AGCAGAGUAGAGUAGCCCGGAGUGCUCGCCAGGCCCAUAACCUGGAGGUCGGUGGUUCAAAUCCACCCUCUGCUA
rnacentral:tRNA from 1 species